AUUGAACGCUGGCGGCAUGCUUUACACAUGCAAGUCGAACGGUAACAGGCCGCAAGGUGCUGACGAGUGGUGAACGGGUGAGUAAUGCAUCGGAACGUGCCCAGUCGUGGGGGAUAACGCAGCGAAAGCUGCGCUAAUACCGCAUACGACCUGAGGGUGAAAGCGGGGGAUCGCAAGACCUCGCGCUAUUGGAGCGGCCGAUGUCGGAUUAGCUAGUUGGUGGGGUAAAGGCUCACCAAGGCAACGAUCCGUAGCUGGUCUGAGAGGACGACCAGCCACACUGGGACUGAGACACGGCCCAGACUCCUACGGGAGGCAGCAGUGGGGAAUUUUGGACAAUGGGCGCAAGCCUGAUCCAGCCAUGCCGCGUGCGGGAAGAAGGCCUUCGGGUUGUAAACCGCUUUUGUCAGGGAAGAAACGCUCUGGGCUAAUACCCCGGGGUAAUGACGGUACCUGAAGAAUAAGCACCGGCUAACUACGUGCCAGCCGCCGCCGUAAUAC
rnacentral:rRNA from 1 species